rnacentral:rRNA from 1 species
UACACGACCGUACCGCAAACCGACACUGGUGCGCGAGAUGAGUAUUCUAAGGCGCUUGAGAGAACUCAGGAGAAGGAACUCGGCAAAUUGACACCGUAACUUCGGAAGAAGGUGUGCCUUUAGUAGGUGAACCUGUACAAGGGGAGCCCAAUGAGGUUGCAAAAAAUCGGUGGCUGCGACUGUUUAAUAAAAACACAGCACUCUGCAAACACGAAAGUGGACGUAUAGGGUGUGACGCCUGCCCGGUGCUGGAAGAUUAAAUGAUGGGGUGCAAGCUCUUGAUUGAAGUCCCAGUAAACGGCGGCCGUAACAAUAACGGUCCUAAGGUAGCGAAAUUCCUUGUCGGGUAAGUUCCGACCUGCACGAAUGGCGUAACGAUGGCCACACUGUCUCCUCCUGAGACUCAGCGAAGUUGAAAUGUUUGUGAUGAUGCAAUCUCCCCGCGGAAAGACGGAAAGACCCCAUGAACCUUUACUGUAGCUUUGUAUUGGACUUUGAACAGAUCUGUGUAGGAUAGGUGGGAGGCUUUGAAGUGUGGUCGCUAGAUCGCAUGGAGCCAACGUUGAAAUACCACCCUGGUGUGUUUGAGGUUCUAACCUAGGCCCGUAAUCCGGGUCGGGGACAGUGCAUGGUAGGCAGUUUGACUGGGGCGGUCUCCUCCCAAAGCGUAACGGAGGAGUUCGAAGGUACGCUAGGUACGGUCGGACAUCGUGCUAAUAGUGCAAUGGCAUAAGCGUGCUUAACUGCGAGACUGACAAGUCGAGCAGAUGCGAAAGCAGGACAUAGUGAUCCGGUGGUUCUGUAUGGAAGGGCCAUCGCUCAACGGAUAAAAGGUACUCUGGGGAUAACAGGCUGAUACCGCCCAAGAGUUCAUAUCGACGGCGGUGUUUGGCACCUCGAUGUCGGCUCAUCUCAUCCUGGGGCUGUAGCCGGUCCCAAGGGUAUGGCUGUUCGCCAUUUAAAGAGGUACGUGAGCUGGGUUUAAAACGUCGUGAGACAGUUUGGUCCCUAUCUUCCGUGGGCGCUGCAGAUUUGAGGAAGCCUGCUCCUAGUACGAGAGGACCGGAGUGGACACACCUCUGGUGUAUCGGUUGUCACGCCAGUGGCAUUGCCGAGUAGCUAUGUGUGGAAGAGAUAACCGCUGAAAGCAUCUAAGCGGGAAACUCGUUUCAAGAUGAGAUCUGCCGGGGCCUUGAGCCCCCUAAAGAGUCGUUCAAGACCAGGACGUUGAUAGGUCGGGUGUGGAAGCGCAGUAAUGCGUUAAGCUAACCGAUACUAAUUGCUCGUGCGGCUUGACCU